ensembl:lncRNA
AAAAUGUCACUUUUUUCACCUUAUCAUACUUUUUCAUCAACUUUUGCAUUUUAAUGUAAACAAUCAUAUUUCGUAAUAUUUUGGGUCAGAAACAUUUCAUAGUACUAUAUUAUGUCUAACUAUGUGAAAAGAAUCAAAUUGGAGUAGGUCGGGAAACUGAUUAUAUGAGUUUGUUAGAAAAACCACUUUCCUUUGCUCCUAGCGCCUUCUCGUUCGCUGUAUAGCGUUUUGAGCGGAUAAAGAGCACAAGUGUGUAUGGGUACACAGGAUGAAUGGGAACUAGUUUUGUUAUUGUACUUUUGAUGAAAAGUGACUUUCUAGACAUAAAAUGUCACUUUUUUCACCUUAUCAUACUUUUUCAUCAACUUUUGCAUUUUAAUGUAAACAAUCAUAUUUCGUAAUAUUUUGGGUCAGAAACAUUUCAUAGUACUAUAUUAUGUCUAAAUAUGUGAAAAGAAUCAAAUUGGAGUAGGUCGGGCAACUGAUUAUAUGAGUUUGUUAGAAAAACCACUUUCCUUUGCUCCUAGCGCCGUCUCGUUCGCUGUAUAUCGUUUUGAGCGGAUAAAGAGCACAAGUGUGUAUGGGUACACAGGAUGAAUGGGAACAAGUUUUGUUAUUGUACUUUUGAUGGAAAUUGACUUUCUAGACAUAAAAUGUCACUUUUUUC